rnacentral:rRNA from 1 species
CCUUUGGGUAUGAAACCCAUUUGGGCGAGAGUAGUACUAAGAUGGGUGACCUCCUGGGAAGUCCUCGU